rnacentral:lncRNA from 1 species
CGAAGAGAGUCUUGUAGACCAUGGUAGCCUGGUAUUUGGUGCCCAGCCCGGGGCGGGCGGCAAGGAGUUUGCGGACUGACAGAGCGCACUGGGCGCUGGUAGCGACUCCUCUGCCGGGUGGGCUGCGGUGGGAGCCGGGAGGCGCGAACAGCUCCAGUGGAGGGCGCGAGGCAAACGAGGCGAACGCAGCGCAGCUCCGUCAGCUGCGUGCCCUCCGGUGCUCCGCGCUCUUCUGCUCCAUCCCAGCCGCCCGAGCCCGGGGCCGCCUCCGCCUCCGCCGCCGCCGCCGCGCCUGCCGCUGCCAAACCCCUCCCACCCGGGCCCCGCGGCGAUGACUGGGCCACCCCCUGGCCUUCCUUCUCUCAGCCCUCAGGUCCCGAGAGCCCCGGCCCAGAGCGGCCUCUGCUGGACAGUCAAGACACGAGACCCUGGGUUCAGCAAAUGUUUGCAGCGCCUUGCACUGUGCUGGGAACUAGGGAUGCAAAGAAAUGUGAGCACAUCUCUGCCCUUAGGAAUCUAGCUCAGCUUUUCCUACAUGAGCUUACAGCCUUUAAAAAGGUGACCUUAUGCCAUUUUAGGAGUUCCCUCGGAGAACCGGCACAUGUUCCAAGAAUGAGGACCUUCUUCAUUUGUCAAAACACUUCUGCGUGUACAUCAUUAAACCCUCAUCCACAUUAAACCCGGCUGAGCUUCCUGGGGCCCGAACCAGGAUGUCUGCCGCUGCAUUCAGCUUCUUACUAGAAGAAAAUACUGUCGGGGGGAUAACUAAGCCAGACACCCUACUAGGCGUUGUUUCAUGAAUCCUUCUAAGAAUUAUUAUUAUUCCAUUUUACAGGUGAGAAAAUGAAGGCACAGAGAAGACAAUGUUCUCAAGGUCGCAUAACUGGUCUUUGGAUCAACUCUUUCAACCAAUUGCCAGUUGGAAAAUCUUUGAAUUCACCUAUGACCUGGAAGCUCCUAGUUUGAGUUGUCCUGCUUUUCCGGACCAAAACAAUGUACGUCUUACAUGUAUUGACUGAUGUCUUCUGUCUCCCUAAAACAUAUGAAACCAAGUCGUGUCCUGAACUACUUUGGGCACAUGCUCUCAGGAUCUCCUGAGGCUGUGUCAUGGACAUGUCCCUAACCUUGGCAAAAUAAACUUCUAAACUGAUGAAGACUUGUCUCAAAUACCUUUUGGUUUACAGCCCUGACAAUAUUUCGGGAAGGAAGAAACUCCUUCUUGGAUGUGACGCACAUAAUGAAAUCUUCUAUUUAAACUAGUGUAAAA